rnacentral:rRNA from 1 species
AUUGAACGCUGGCGGCAUGCCUUACACAUGCAAGUCGAACGGCAGCACGGGUGCUUGCACCUGGUGGCGAGUGGCGAACGGGUGAGUAAUACAUCGGAACAUGUCCUGUAGUGGGGGAUAGCCCGGCGAAAGCCGGAUUAAUACCGCAUACGAUCUACGGAUGAAAGCGGGGGACCUUCGGGCCUCGCGCUAUAGGGUUGGCCGAUGGCUGAUUAGCUAGUUGGUGGGGUAAAGGCCUACCAAGGCGACGAUCAGUAGCUGGUCUGAGAGGACGACCAGCCACACUGGGACUGAGACACGGCCCAGACUCCUACGGGAGGCAGCAGUGGGGAAUUUUGGACAAUGGGCGAAAGCCUGAUCCAGCAAUGCCGCGUGUGUGAAGAAGGGCUUCGGGUUGUAAAGCACUUUUGUCCGGAAAGAAAUCCUUGGCUCUAAUACAGUCGGGGGAUGACGGUACCGGAAGAAUAAGCACCGGCUAACUACGUG